rnacentral:misc_RNA from 1 species
AGACGAAUCAGCAGCUUUAGUAACAACCUUAAGUCGAAGACGAUACUGGGUUUUCGCCAAAAUUGAAUCUUGAUUACUGAAAGUGGUCAAUUUGUGCACAAGUGGUGGCAAUGUAAGAGGUAAUGAAGGUCGAAUUUGGGCAUGAAUUUGAGUGUUAUUGAAGACAGCGAAACUCUGAGAACAGAAAAGGGUUCCUCCAGCUCCUCGCAUGGCUGCUACUGUUUUCACCAUUUUCGGUAGGAUUUGGAAUUGGAGGAGAACAAGAGGCUGU